GAGUGGCUCAGUCGAUAGAGCAUGAGACUCUUCAUCUCAGAGUGGUGGGUUCGAGUUCUACGUUGGGCA